rnacentral:tRNA from 1 species
GCUCGGGUGGUGGAAUGGCAGACACGCAUGUUUGAGGGGCAUGUGCCGCAAGGCGUGGGGGUUCGACUCCCCCCCCGAGCA